CAUUACCGAGUGAGGACCUAACCGGUCCAACCUCCCACCCGUGUCUAUCGUACCUUGUUGCUUCGGCGGGCCCGCCAUUCGUGGCCGCCGGGGGGCAUUUCGCCCCCGGGCCCGCGCCCGCCGGAGACACCAACACGAACACUGUCUGAAGGUUGCAGUCUGAGUCGAUUUAUUUAAUCGUUAAAACUUUCAACAACGGAUCUCUUGGUUCCGGCAUCGAUGAAGAACGCAGCGAAAUGCGAUAAUUAAUGUGAAUUGCAGAAUUCAGUGAAUCAUCGAGUCUUUGAACGCACAUUGCGCCCCCUGGUAUUCCGGGGGGCAUGCCUGUCCGAGCGUCAUUGCUGCCCUCAAGCACGGCUUGUGUGUUGGGUCGCCGUCCCCUUCCCGGGGGACGGGCCCGAAAGGCAGCGGCGGCACCGCGUCCGGUCCUCGAGCGUAUGGGGCUUUGUCACCCGCUCUGUAGGCCCGGCCGGCGCCUGCCGACCACCAACCUUUUUUUAACCAGGUUGACCUCGGAUCAGGUAGGGAUACCCGCUGAACUUAAGCAUAUCAAUAAGCGGAGGAAAAGAAACCAACCGGGAUUGCCUCAGUAACGGCGAGUGAAGCGGCAAAAGCUCAAAUUUGAAAUCUGGCUCCUUCGGGGUCCGAGUUGUAAUUUGCAGAGGAUGCUUCGGUUGCGGCCCCCAUCUAAGUACCCUGGAACGGGUCGUCAUAGAGGGUGAGAAUCCCGUAUGGGAUGGGGUGUCCGCGUCCGUGUGAAGCUCCUUCGACGAGUCGAGUUGUUUGGGAAUGCAGCUCUAAAUGGGUGGUAAAUUUCAUCUAAAGCUAAAUACUGGCCGGAGACCGAUAGCGCACAAGUAGAGUGAUCGAAAGAUGAAAAGCACUUUGAAAAGAGAGUUAAACAGCACGUGAAAUUGUUGAAAGGGAAGCGCUUGCGAUCAGACUCGCCUACGGGGUUCAGCCGGCUUUCGGGCCGGUGUACUUCCCCGUGGGCGGGCCAGCGUCGGUUUGGGCGGCCGGUCAAAGGCCCCUGGAAUGUAGCGCCUCUCGGGGCGCCUUAUAGCCAGGGGUGCAAUGCGGCCUGCCUGGACCGAGGAAC
rnacentral:sRNA from 1 species